AUGUCCGAGUACUCCCCCAGUACUCUCCGCCUAUGCCGAGUACUUUUUAUUUAUUUUUUAUUUUUAUUUUUUGAAUAAAAAAACAAUUCCCCUAAGAGGGGUGCACCCCGUACGUUUUUGGACAAGAGGGAAGUUAUAGAGGGGAAAUGACAUGGCAACGUAUGAUUGGGUUAAAAAAAGUUUCCCCUCACCUCAUUAGGGGGGUGCCCCCUUCACCCUAAGACACCCUAUUUUGUUAUAUAUAGUAAUAAUACCUCAGCAGAGUGGAUUUGGUGUUCAGAUUCAGCCAUUCCCUUGGAGAAAUCACCAACUUGUGACGGAUAUAAGAAUGACGGUAUUUCAAAAAAACUCGAUUUCUCGACCGCCUGUUCAACGGUUAAUAUAGGUGGUUCCAAGUCCUCAAUAUCAUAAUCAACCAUGGCUGUAUCGGCUAGCACAUCAGCAAUCUUUUGUGUAUUUGCAACCUAACAUAUGCAUUCCUUUAAGCAUAAUUCUUUACAUUUACACAAAAUAACAUCUUUGAAAGAACUAAAAUACCGCAAACGCUAUACGCUGGCCCGCACACUGAGUAAGUUCAUCGGCAAAUAACGGUUCGGGACCAAAAAGGGUCUUGGAUCCUAUAUUAUCACCUCCUUUUGGAAUAUCUUGAAAUGUAACGACGGAAUGUACGUCUUUUUUGGAGUUUAAUCUAAUACGCUUUACCCGUGCCAACGGUUUGGUGCUGUAGAUAAAUGCUCCGUGAAGGCAGUUCAACGGUGAAGGAAUGUCAUCUACAAAUAUCGCUUCACCUGCAUGAUUAAGGUCACUUCGGUGAUGAGGGGAUCAUGCGUUGACAUCCAGAUGGAAAAAUUCGAACCGUUUGCUUGUGAACGGGUCGAUUUGGGUUAUGGUUUAUCUCUUUACAGAUCAAAUAGAGAACUAACUAAAGAACAAGUCAAACGGGUUGAACGUCAGCCAACUUGUAUUUUUAAUGCUUACAACUUCCUAAAUAGGCUUAACUAAAAGAUCUUAGUUAAAUAAAAAUUAUUGAACAAAAAAAUGCUUGUGGCCAAACCGAUUUGGCCCAUACCACAAGCAAGCUGAACCCAUUUUGACCCGUUACCCAAUCCGCUCGACCCGUAAGUUAUUGGUUGUAUUGCGUUAUACGCACCCGAAGCUUGGAUUGCAGAACCAGACUUUACAAUCGCUUCACCAACAGGAUAAUAUUCGCUGCUCGAUUCUAUCACCUGCUUUGCCGAUGACAACAAUGUCGUCGUUUCAGAACGAUCAAACGUCAUUCUUGGCGUAAUUCCAUAAGAAUUACAAGUCGAUGUACGCACGCAACCAUCAGCUUCAACUAGCGGCCAGAGAAAGUCAAACAGAAAACCAACCGCCAAGCUUGACCGAUAAGCGGAAUGUGACGUCCCACUUUCAGGAGAAACCGCAAACCUUAUUAAUUUAACCGCUUCAUAUAUCACAUCAACACUUAACAUUUUCCCAACAAGAUAGUUUUCAACUGUGCUUGCGCUUAUCGCGUGUUUAACGCCAAAAGAACCAAAAGCAAGACGAACACUGUUAAUUCUAACGCCUCUAUCACAUACAGACGUUUCAGCCAAAAACGCAGCGUUUAAAUAAGCUAAUGCGUUUCCAAGAGGACGUGGAGAAGCACGAUAAGUUUGAAAUAUAACUUUAGCGUUCGAUUUUUCCGAGUAUCCGUUUUUGGUUGGUUUCGGGUACGGAACGAACACACUCAAAAGCACGGUUCUUGAAUCUAAUGCAGGCUUUUCAAGAAACUCCUCAAGUGUAAGAAUUUCCUUUUUUACCCCCGUCAAGAUGGUAACUUUCGACUUCACCGCAAGAAGUACCGUAGCAAUAUCGGAAGGAAAAUUCUUUCUUUGCGCCAUUACCAAAUUUCCGCCUAUACUCGCUACAUUCCGGAUGGAUUCAGAACCAAUUUUCUCCAAAUGGGAUGCGAUUUUCUUGAACACCGCAUCAUCAUUUAUUUCUUCGUUUAAAGCCAAGAUUAAUUUUGAGAUCGAAACGGUCGCUCCGACUUCGAUAUGCGAGCCGGCUUUCUUGAUUGUGGAAAGUUCCGGAAUAAACCGAAGGUCAAUGUACGUGUCAUACUGAUUGGUUUCCUUAUAAUAACCGGCUCCAGUAUUACCAGCAACUAGUUUUACCAUUACACCGUUGUCAGCAGAGUUGUAUUCCACCAAACUCGUGAGUUCCUCUAUCGAACGUGGACUAUACCAAGACUUGUUUCGAUUAUUUAAAACUGUUGUCGAUUCGCAUUCGUUUUUCAAGAACUCGGGAUACGUAGUUAUCUGUUUCGGAUCAUAGAAUGGCAGUUUAUGAAGUUUGGUAUCAUUUUUACGGAAUGAGUUAAGUCCCAAAUCUUCCAUAUCGACAUCGGCUGCGAAACUUUUGCAUACGUCAGCGAUCGGACGGUAACCCGUGCAUCGACAUAGAUUACCGGAAAUCGAUUUUUCGGCUUCUGAGACGGUGAGUUUGGAGAAACCAAGAGCGGGUUCGGGCCGAUGGGUUUUUUCUGAGUUAACGAGUGCGGAAAAGAGUGACAUGCACAUCCCAGGGGUGCAGAAACCGCAUUGAGACGCGUGGAAACCGGCGAAACGUUCGUGAAUGGGAUGAAACCCGUCUUUGAUGUUGCCGAGACCUUCGGUUGUAGUGAUUGAACACAUGUUUAUGCUGCAAAGAAGUGUGAGACAUGAACUGAUUGUGUAAUCUUCGACUUGUUUGAGCUUGGGAUUGAACUUGGACAGUAAAACAUUACAAGCUCCACAACCACCUACAAUUGGAAAAUUCAUAAUAUGCAAAAGCUUCAAAUUGACAAGAAAUGUCUCAAAAAACGAAAAUGAACAACAUUGUUAGUAAAGAUCAUGUGGUACCAAGUACCAACUCAUUUAGACACUGUUUUUAAGUUAACAAGUUUAUAAUAGUUUCCCGUUUUGACCCGUUGACUACUUUGAGCGGAUAAAAAUAAGGGAAAUUUACGAAAAUGUCAUUUGACCAACGUUCUUUACGAAAAUGUCACGUUCAUGUGUCUGUGGACGGGACUCCUCCACAUGGGAUGCGUCCGGAUGCAAGGGAUGCGUCGGGGAGGGUAUGGGAUGCGUCGGGGAGGGCAUGGGAUGCGUCGGGGGAGGCAUGGGAUGCGUCGCGGAUGGACUCUUUAACAUUUGAAAGGACACGUGUCAGCUCCUCGU
rnacentral:lncRNA from 1 species